AAUUUUACGGCUGUAAGGGAGUGCUUCGCGCGCGGGCUGUCAAACCUU
rnacentral:ncRNA from 1 species